CAGAGCCGUGAGCGCUAAAAGUCGCAAGCACGGUUCUGAGGAAGGCACGGAGCAGCAAUCUACCGACCUAGCUGAU
rnacentral:ncRNA from 1 species